CGCCCCGAGCCGCCUAAUAACUGUCUUGUCUCAGCAAAGUGUUAUAUAAAACGGUACCACGUGACUCCUCACCACGCUGCUCAUUGGCCGGCAGCGGGGAAAUUGUUACAAAACCAGACAGUUUUGUAACAGUGUUGCGCUUGCUUCUUUUGGCUUCGCUUUUCUUGGCUUCUUUUUGAGGUUGUUUGUGUUUACACUCUGCCUAAUUUCCCACUUGCAACUUGGCUUCUUUUGGAAGGGGGAGAGGAACCCAACUUCUUCUCUCAAGCUUCUCCAUCUCCAAACCCCACCCCAUCCUACCUCCAAACUGGCCAGCAAACAGGUUCCCUCUGCCAGGCGCUCACUACCGCUCACCCCCGCCCGGUCCCUUCGUGGAGAGCAGGGGACUCCCUCAAGGUGGUGAGUGCAGUUUCCCGAGGGCACUUGGUCUUCGGUGCUGAGAGCGACUUGGAGCAGAGUGUCCGGCGGAUACAGAAGUUGGGCAGCGCUCGCUGGGCAGUGAGGGACGCGCGGAGAUGUGCUUACUGGCUUGCACCCCAGAAGAGGCACCCCACCACCCCUUCUCACCUCUUUGUCCCCAAACGCCAGAACCAGCGCUGGGGACGGGGGUCGGAUGCCUCUCUGGAGAAGCACCGGGCCCCCGGAGUUACUGGCCAGAUGGGCGCGGCCACUAGAAUGGCCUGCUGAGUUCGGUGCAGAUCUGUGAUAUACCUUGCUUUCUGGACCACCUUGACAAGUGAGCACCUCUUGUAUUGACCACCCUCCUUGCCCUGUUGAUGAAUGGGGAAACAAAAAGGACAGGUCAAGCAGAAGGUCACAGUCCCGCAGUCAUGGAGAAGAGAUGUGUUCUCCAGGCAGCCUCUCUUGGCAGCUGUAUAUGUAAGAGACUGACCAUGAACUUGGUCAGGAAUGUUAAUAGCUGUCAGGGAAAUGAAGGGUACGCUGGUGCCAAAGGUAGCACCACCUACUCACUGACCAGAUUCCACAGGGAGUUUGAUGUUGUAUUGUAAUCAGGACUGUCUGUAGGGGCACACCAAGUAAGUUUCUAUUGAAUUCUAGAAAACUUGACCACUUUACUUAAGUUAAACAAACAUUACCUUGAUAAACAUUUGUGACCAACUCUGAAAUGUUACUCAAAAAUUCCUCCUUUCUGCUCUUACUAAUUGGAGCCCCUGGAGGAAGGGCAGAGGAGAGAUUGGCAUCUUUUCUUAAGAUGCAAAUAUUCCUUAGAAGCCCAGAUUCCUUAAACUUCCAUUUUUUUUUGUUGUUGUUGUUAAGAUCGUGGGUGGAUAAGGUGAACCUGGAAGAAGGAGCUAGAGAUGAGUUACCCCUUAUUUCCACUGACUACACAGCAAUAAUUUUUUCAAUUGGGUUCUGAGAAACCUCUCUGGUGCCCAGAGGAGAGAGCAGGAAGGACUCAACCUUAACUCUCCUCAACUAGGGCAGUAUUGUAUUCAUUUCAUGUAGUGAGCUUCCAGGUACAAUUUCAUUAAGAAGAGAUUUUUCCCUUUGAAAUAAAAAGUUUGAAAGUCA